rnacentral:rRNA from 1 species
GAGUUUGAUUCUGGCUCAGGAUGAACGCACAAGACGUGCCUAACACAUGCAAAUCGAAUGAAAACGAUUUAAUUAAAUUGUUUUCAUGGUGAACGGGUGAGUAACACAUAAGAAUCAGCUUUUAGAUAAGGCAUAAAAGAGUAAUAUCUUGGUAAUUCCUUAUAUGCGCAGCAGUGCUUAAAAAGGGGACUCCCGUCUAAAAACGAGCUUAUGCCUGAUUAGCUAGUUGGCGAGUUAAAAGCUCACCAAGGCGAAGAUCAGUAGCUGGCCUGAGAGGGCGGCCAGCCACAUUGGGACUGAGACACGGCCCAAACUCCUACGGGAGGCAGCAGUGGGGAAUCUUCUGCAAUGGGCGCAAGCCUGACAGAGCGGCGUCAUGUGAAGGAAGAAGGCCUGAAAUAGGUUGUAAACUUCUUUUACUGAGUAAUGAAUACUGACAACGCAGUAAAAAAGUAUCGGCUAACUCCGUGCCAGCAGCCGCGGUAAUACGGGGGAUGCAAGCGUUAUCCGGAAUCACUGGGCGUAAAGCGUCUGUAGGUGGUUUAGUGUGUUCUUAGUUAAAUUAUGAAGCCUAACUUCAUGAAAAGUAAGAAAACUAUUAGACUUGAGUACGAUAGGGGUAAGAGGAAUUCUUCGAGAAGUAGUGAAAUGCGAAGAUACGAAGGAGAAGAUCAUAAGCGAAGGCUUCUUACUGGGUCGUAACUGACACUGAGAGACGAAAGCUAGGGGAGCGAAUGGGAUUAGAUACCCCAGUAGUCCUAGCUGUAAACGAUGGAUAUUCGGUGCCGGAUUUUAUUAGAACAUUUCGGUACCCUAGCUAACGCGUUAAAUAUCCCGCCUGAGGAGUACGCUCGCAAGGGUGAAACUCAAAGGAAUUGACGGGGGCUCGCACAAGCGGUGGAGCAUGUGGUUUAAUUCGAUGCAAAGCGAAGAACCUUACCAGGGCUUGACAGUAUGUAUAAAAGUCUUAACGGACU